rnacentral:rRNA from 1 species
UACAGAGGGGGCAAGCGUUGUUCGGAAUUACUGGGCGUAAAGGGUGCGUAGGUGGCAAAGUAAGUUGGAUGUGAAAUCCUGGGGCUCAACCUCAGAAUUGCAUUCAAUACUGCUUAGCUAGAGAGCUGUAGAGGAGACUGGAAUUUACGGUGUAGCAGUGAAAUGCGUAGAUAUCGUAAGGAACGCCAGUGGCGAAAGCGAGUCUCUGGGCAGCAUCUGACACUGAGGCACGAAGGCCAGGGGAGCAAACGGG